CCCUUAGAUGUUCUGGGCCGCACGCGCGCUACACUGACGAAUGCAACGAGCUUAUAACCUUGGCCGAAAGGUCUGGGUAAUCUCCAAAUCUCGUCGUGAUGGGGAUAGAUUAUUGCAAUUAUUAAUCUUCAACGAGGAAUGCCUAGUAAGCGCAAGUCAUCAGCUUGCGUUGAUUACGUCCCUGCCCUUUGUACACACCGCCCGUCGCUCCUACCGAUUGAAUGGUCCGGUGAAGCGCUCGGACCGCGGCCUCUUGACGGUUCGCUGUCGAUUGGCUGUGGGAAGUUCGUUAAACCUUAUCAUUUAGAGGAAGGAGAAGUCGUAACA
rnacentral:rRNA from 1 species